AGAGUUUGAUCCUGGCUCAGGNCNNNNNNNGGCGGCGUGCUUAACACAUGCAAGUGGAGCGACGAACCAGGGCUUGCCCUGGGGCAGAGCCGCGAACGGGUGAGUAACACGUGGGUAACCCACCCCGAUGACCGGGACAACCCGAGGAAACUCGGGCUAAUACCGGAUGUUCUCUCCUCCUCUAAGGGAGGCGAGCAAAGAUAGCUUCGGCCUUCGCAUCGGGACGGGCCCGCGGCCCAUUAGCUUGUUGGUGAGGUAACGGCUUACCAAGGCGACGAUGGGUAGCUGGUCUGAGAGGACGAUCAGCCACACUGGGACUGAGACACGGCCCAGACUCCUACGGGAGGCAGCAGUGGGGAAUCUUGCGCAAUGCGCGAAAGCGUGACGCAGCAACGCCGCGUGGGGGAAGAAGGCCUUCGGGUUGUAAACCCCUUUCAGUUGGGACGAAGCUUCGACGGUUAAUAGCCGUCUGUUGUGACGGUACCUUCAGAAGAAGCCCCGGCUAACUACGCGCCAGCCGCCGCGGUAAUUC
rnacentral:rRNA from 1 species